rnacentral:rRNA from 1 species
UAGUCCACGCCGUAAACGAUGUCUACUAGCCGUUGGGGGACUUGAUCCCUUAGUGGCGCAGCUAACGCACUAAGUAGACCGCCUGGGGAAUACGGCCGCAAGGUUAAAACUCAAAUGGAUUGACGGGGGCCCGCACAAGCGGUGGAGCAUGUGGUUUAAUUCGAUGCAACGCGAAGAACCUUACCAGGCCUUGACAUCCAGAGAAGUUGCUAGAGAUAGCUUCGUGCCUUCGGGAACUCUGUGACAGGUGCUGCAUGGCUGUCGUCAGCUCGCGUCGUGAGAUGUUGGGUUAAGUCCCGUAACGAGCGCAACCCUUGUCCUUAGUUGCUAGCAGGUUAUGCUGAGAACUCUAAGGAGACUGCCGGUGACAAACCGGAGGAAGGUGGGACGACGUCAAGUCAUCAUGGCCCUUACGGCCUGGGCUACACACGUGCUACAAUGGUCGGUACAAAGGGUUGCCAACCCGCGAGGGGGAGCUAAUCUCAUAAAACCGAUCGUAGUCCGGA